rnacentral:rRNA from 1 species
AAAUGAAUAGACGGGGGCCCGCACAAGCGGCGGAGCGUGCUCUUUAAUUCGUCGCAACGCGAAGAACCUUACCAGGGUUUGACAUGGACCUGCAGAGCCGUGAAAGCGGUUGGCCUUCGAGGGUGGUCCACAGGUGCUGCAUGGCUGUCGUCAGCUCGUGUCGUGAGAUGUUGGGUUAAGUCCCGCAACGAGCGCAACCCUUGUGUCCAGUUGCGAUUUUCUGGACAGACUGCCGGGAGCAAACCGGAGGAAGGUGGGGAUGAUGUCAAGUCAGCAUGGCCCUUACACCCUGGGCGAGAAGCACGCUACAAUGGCCGGGACAGAGGGUUGCCAAGCGGUAACGUGGAGCUAAUCCCAGAAACCCGGUCUCAGUUCGGAUCGAGGGCUGCAACUCGCCCUCGUGAAGGUGGAGUCGCUAGUAACCGCAGGUCAGCACUACUGCGGUGAAUAUGUUCCCGGGCCUUGUACACACCGCCCGU